AUGUCUUCUAGUUCUAAACGCCCUGGUAAGAAGUAUAAAUCUGGGUAUGAAAAACGUACAAGGAAGAAAAAAGCUGAAAAUCUUAUUCAUUCUCUGAAGGGGUCUCUUGAUAAAUUUGUUGUGAAAGAACCACAAGUUUCUUCCGAAAAUCAGAAUAUAGAGGCUGAUGUUGAUGAUAAUGUUGACAACAUUCAGGUUGAGAAUACUAAUCCUGAUGAGGCUAACCUCCAUGGAAAUGUCGUUGGCGCUAGUGUUAAUGAAAACAUGGAUAGUUCAUCUAAUAAGAAUAACAUGGAUGCAUCUUCCGAUGGUAAUGUUUCUUUCCGGCCAGAUAUAUUUGAUCCAAGGAAUUGGGAUGCCCUUGACUCAAAAGCGAUUGACAUCUUGGUAGAAAAUGGUCCCAAAAGAGAUUUAACUAUAAAAAAAGGCCGGAAGGAUAAAAAUAAAAGAUGCUUUUCUUCGAUAUUUUACACAAGAGUUCUACCAAAUGGAGAGAAGUGUGAUAGAGAUUGGCUUGUAUACUCUAGAGAACUUGACAAGGUAUUCUGCUUUUGUUGCAAAUUAUUUCGAAAGGGGCAUGUAAAGGGUCAUUUUCCUAGUGAGGGUUUUAAUGAUUGGGCACAUAUUAGCAUUAGAAUUAGAGAGCACGAAACAAGUGCCAAACAUGUUCUGAAUAUGGUCACUUGGUAUGAUUUGCGACUACGGUUGCAAAAGCAUCAAACUAUUAAUUGUGUAGCGCAGCGACAACUUGAGAAAGAAAAGGACCAUUGGAGAAAAGUUCUAUUUAGAAUUCUUUUGAUGGUAAAAUUUCUUGCGAAACACAAUCUUGCAUUUCGUGGUACUAACUCGACAUUGUAUCAAGAUAAUAAUGGAAAUUUCUUAGGCUUGGUUGAAAUGCUAGCUGAGUUCGACCCAAUUAUUCAGGAGCAUGUUAGGCGCAUAACAAACAAUGAAACUCAUGUUCAUUACCUUGGUCAUGGGAUCCAAAAUGAGUUAAUACAUUUGCUUGCUUCUGCAAUUAAGUCAGAGAUAAUUAAAAAAAAUUAA
rnacentral:rRNA from 1 species